GAUGAACGCUGGCGGCGUGCCUAAUACAUGCAAGUCGAGCGAACGGACGAGAAGCUUGCUUUUCUGAUGUUAGCGGCGGACGGGUGAGUAACACGUGGAUAACCUACCUAUAAGACUGGGAUAACUUCGGGAAACCGGAGCUAAUACCGGAUAAUAUUUUGAACCGCAUGGUUCAAAAGUGAAAGACGGUCUUGCUGUCACUUAUAGAUGGAUCCGCGCUGCAUUAGCUAGUUGGUAAGGUAACGGCUUACCAAGGCAACGAUGCAUAGCCGACCUGAGAGGGUGAUCGGCCACACUGGAACUGAGACACGGUCCAGACUCCUACGGGAGGCAGCAGUAGGGAAUCUUCCGCAAUGGGCGAAAGCCUGACGGAGCAACGCUGCGUGAGUGAUGAAGGUCUUCGGAUCGUAAAACUCUGUUAUUAGGGAAGAACAUAUGUGUAAGUACCUGUGCACAUCUUGACGGUACCUAAUCAGAAAGCCACGGCUAACUACGUG
rnacentral:rRNA from 1 species